GGUGCUUCACACAUCAGGAGAUGGUGAAGUGAGGUGGCUGUGCUCUGAAGUCCCAGGGAGCCUGGAGUCUUACUCAGGCAGUCCAUUCGGAGCAGUACACCAAAAUGCAGGCUUUAAUACCCUGCAGAUCCUUGAUGGUGUAUUCCAGAAAGGACAAGAUCCUUUGGAAGGCUGCACAGUGAUAUCACCCACCUCCACAUUGAGAAGGAUCUGGGAGCCUGUUCCAAGAAGAUCUGGGGCUGCAGGCAGGACAAAUAAAGCUCUCACAUGCUUUUCAGCCAGGCAGCUGCAUGUAGUUCAGCAGGAAACUCUUUGUACUAUGUGACCAGGUCACAGACAUAAACAAAAGGGCACUGAGAGACUCAGUCAACAGCCGGUUCUCAUGUCCCUCUGUGUCAUACUCAUGUCUCUAAAAAUCAAAUGCUCUUAAGAGGAAUUUGACAUCAUACAUGCAUGCUGCAACACUUGCUAUAAAAGAAACAGUAAAACAUUCAAAAAAGUCACGCAGCUCCAGAAGUUUUACUGCUACUAAAACUAUAGCUGAAGACUACAUUUCCAGCAAGCAGCAGACUGGAUUUUAACCAUGCUGCUUAUACUACUCCCCCUGAAAUUUCUCUUAAAGAAAAUCCAGGAGAAGAGCUGAACUAGCCUUUGCCUUUUAAGAGAAAGAAACUGAAGAAAAAAGGUAAGGUUGAACAGUCACAUGAAAGAAGUGAGGAAAUGCCACUUCUGGAAAGGAUUUCACUUACCAUACUGGAUUUAGCUAUUCAACUGUUGUUGAAAAACACAGGUCAUUGAAUCCUCAUAAGGGUCUGAGAACAUUGGAAAGCAGGAAAAUUCCCUGUUAAAUGACAACGAUGUUCUGUGCAGAGCAUAGGAGCAGGGUCUCAGAAACCAUGAUGUCCAGCAUUACGGCUCAUUUGCCUUCACAGCACAACAAUGAAGGGAAGGAAACAGACUGGAAGAUCAUAGCUUGGAAGAGUCUGCUAAAGGCAUUAUAAAAUGUGUUGCCGUAAGACUGCAGUUCAGUUUAUCCAGGUUCGUAUUUCAUUCUUGCAGGAAUUCUUGUCUUCACCAUAGAAUGCAU
rnacentral:lncRNA from 1 species